rnacentral:rRNA from 1 species
CCCUGUGACCAUGAGUUUAACGGCCGCGGUAUUUUGACCGUGCAAAGGUAGCGCAAUCACUUGUCUUUUAAAUGAAGACCUGUAUGAAUGGCAUAACGAGGGCUUAACUGUCUCCCUUUUCCAGUCAAUGAAAUUGAUCUCCCCGUGCAGAAGCGGGGAUUAAAACAUAAGACGAGAAGACCCUAUGGAGCUUUAGACAAAGAGCAGACCAUGUUAAACACACCUAAAUAAAGGACAAAACCAAUUGGCCCCUGCCCUUAUGUCUUUGGUUGGGGCGACCGCGGGGAAACAAAAAACCCCCAUGUGGACUGAAGACAUUCCUCUUCACAACCAAGAGCCACAGCUCUAAGCAACAGAACAUCUGACCAACAAGAUCCGGCACUAAGCCGAUCAACGGACCGAGUUACCCUAGGGAUAACAGCGCAAUCUCCUUUUAGAGCCCCCAUCGACAAGGAGGUUUACGACCUCGAUGUUGGAUCAGGACAUCCUAAUGGUGCAGCCGCUAUUAAGGGUUCGUUUGUUCAACGAUUAAAGUCCUAC